rnacentral:lncRNA from 1 species
GAAAUCUAUGAAAUUUUAACACAAGGUUUUUGACCACAAAAGGAAGGUUGGUAUUGAUUUUGGGAGUUUUGGUCCCAACAUUUUAGGAAUUAGGGGCCAAAAAGGGCCAAAUAAGCAUUUUCUUGGUUUUCGCACUAUAACUUUAGUUUAAGUUAAUAGAAAUCUAUGAAAUUUUGACACAAGGUUUAUGACCACAAAAGAACGG